UACCCGACGACGGUGCGCCAACCUCGCAAGAGGAAGCAGCCGGCCACGGUAGGCUCAGUGACUGGGGUGAAGUCGUAACAAGGUAGCCGUAGGGGAACCUGCGGCUGGAUCACCUCCUUU
rnacentral:rRNA from 1 species